GACGAACGCUGGCGGCGUGCUUAACACAUGCAAGUCGAACGGAAAGGCCUCUUUCGGGUGGUACUCGAGUGGCGAACGGGUGAGUAACACGUGAGUAACCUGCCCUUGACUUUGGGAUAACUUCAGGAAACUGGGGCUAAUACCGGAUAGGAGCUCCUGCUGCAUGGUGGGGGUUGGAAAGUUUCGGCGGUUGGGGAUGGACUCGCGGCUUAUCAGCUUGUUGGUGGGGUAGUGGCUUACCAAGGCUUUGACGGGUAGCCGGCCUGAGAGGGUGACCGGCCACAUUGGGACUGAGAUACGGCACAGACUCCUACGGGAGGCAGCAGUGGGGAAUAUUGCACAAUGGGUGGAAGCCUGAUGCAGCAACGCCGUGUGCGGGAUGACGGCCUUCGGGUUGUAAACCGCUUUCGCUCAUGACGAAGCUUUGUGUGACGGUAGUGGGUAAAGAAGCACCGGCUAACUACGUG
rnacentral:rRNA from 1 species